UUAACUUCCCUGAACCAGAGUUCCCACACUCACUUGCCUUAAAAGGAUGUGAGGUGGGAGGAAGUUUGAGAAUCCCUGAGAAAGUGCGUUGUAGGCUGGGAAGUGCUAUCCAAACAUAUGUUGUGAGAUUCAAUAGGUUGUGGGACGUUUGGGUGGUCUAGGGUAUACUAGGGUUCUAAAGCUCUGUGACAUCAUCAUGAGUCUCAGAAAUGGCCAGAAUGUUCCUUGCUGCAGAUGCAUUGGCCCCAUCUGCAGGUCCUCUUUGACACCUACCUUACUCUCUCCCUCCACUCACACUCUGAGAACUGUGCUCAGGGGCAGCGCUACAACUUCCACAUUGGUCUUUACAGGGCUUGAGUGAUUAUUUCAAGAACAGAACGCUGUGUGGAAACCUUUACCAUAUUUCGUUGUAUCUAAGACACAUUUUUUUUUUUUGAAAUUUAACAUCUCUAAGGUUGGGUUAUGUUUCUUCAUCAUUGUCAGGUUGGAGCUUAAUCAGCAGCACUUUUUUUUAAUGUCACACACAGUAAUGGUGAUGCAUCUCACAAUUGAGAUCAUCUUAGACAUGAUGGAAUAUGGAAUCGUGUGCCUGUUACAAGCCAGGCUCUUGUCUGGGUUCUAGAGACGGUGGAAACCAAGACAGCACCAUCCUCUAGUGGUGUUCACAUCCCACCACAGUGGAGUCAGGACUUUGAAGUCCUCCAUUGGAUCUUCUCGGAAGAUGAGGGAAAUGAGAGAGUGUGGAGAGAGAUUUUGUAAGUCCGGUCUGGAAGUGGUCAUUGUUCAGAAUCCAGCCACGUGGGUACAUGGAACUGUAAGGCUAUUUCAACAUGGGAAACUGAAAUCGGGCAUAUCCCUGCGGAAGAAGCUGUCUCUUAGCGAAGAAUAAAACUGUGGACUGACCCCCACCCAUUUGCGAAGAAAGUACUGGGUCUUCAGCUUUCAUUGUUCAGCCGGUGGUCUUUGUGGACAACACCAGGGGCCCCUCCUGCUGAAGACUGUCUGGACUUCCUGAUUUUCACUCCUGUAUAAACCCCCUCCCCCAUUACUACCUUUGUCUCCUUGGGGAAAAAAAAUGUUUUUCACUUAAGCAAAAUAAUAACUACCCAGUAUUUGUUUCUGGAGUGAAAUUGUAAACUUCAUUGUACAUUCUUCCUGGCUUUGAUGCUUAUCGUGAAGAGUUCAGUGAAAAUAAAUUGUUUUUAUGAAAGCAGAGAAACCAUUUGAUAAACACGCUGUCUCUGAAAAUCGUUCCUGCAAAAGAGGUCAUUCUUUCACUUUAAAAGAAAUAGAAUAUAUUUCAGAAAACAGGCAGGACAACAUACAAAUUUUUUUUUAAGGCAGAGUGUAAAUACAGUGAAAAUUGCACACCUCCUGAUUGUGUGGAGUGUUUUGG
rnacentral:lncRNA from 10 species